AACGAACGCAGGCUGCAGGCUUAACACAUGCAAGUCGAACGCCCCGCAAGGGGAGUGGCAGACGGGUGAGUAACGCGUGGGAAUCUACCUAGUUCUACGGAACAACAGAGGGAAACUUCUGCUAAUACCGUAUACGCCCUAAGGGGGAAAGAUUUAUCGGAAUUAGAUGAGCCCGCGUAAGAUUAGCUAGUUGGUGGGGU
rnacentral:rRNA from 1 species